rnacentral:rRNA from 1 species
CCUACGGGAUGCAGCAGUGGGGAAUAUUGGACAAUGGGCGGAAGCCUGAUCCAGCCAUGCCGCGUGUGUAAAGAAGGCCUUAUGGUUGUAAAGCACUUUAAGCGAGGAGGAGGCUACUUUAGUUAAUACCUAGAGAUAGUGGACGUUACUCGCAGAAUAAGCACCGGCUAACUCUGUGCCAGCAGCCGCGGUAAUACAGAGGGUGCAAGCGUUAAUCGGAUUUACUGGGCGUAGAGCGCGCGUAGGCGGCUAAUUAAGUCAAAUGUGAAAUCCCCGAGCUUAACUUGGGAAUUGCAUUCGAUACUGGUUAGCUAGAGUGUGGGAGAGGAUGGUAGAAUUCCAGGUGUAGCGGUGAAAUGCGUAGAGAUCUGGAGGAAUACCGAUGGCGAAGGCAGCCAUCUGGCCUAACACUGACGCUGAGGUGCGAAAGCAUGGGGAGCAAACAGGAUUAGAUACCCCUGUAGUC